GAUGAACGCUGGCGGCGUGCUUAACACAUGCAAGUCGAACGGAAAGGCUCCUGCUUGCAGGGGUACUCGAGUGGCGAACGGGUGAGUAACACGUGGGUGAUCUGCCCUGCACUUCGGGAUAAGCCUGGGAAACUGGGUCUAAUACCGGAUAGGACGAUGGUUUGGAUGCCAUUGUGGAAAGUUUUUCGGUGUGGGAUGAGCUCGCGGCCUAUCAGCUUGUUGGUGGGGUAAUGGCCUACCAAGGCGUCGACGGGUAGCCGGCCUGAGAGGGUGUACGGCCACAUUGGGACUGAGAUACGGCCCAGACUCCUACGGGAGGCAGCAGUGGGGAAUAUUGCACAAUGGGCGCAAGCCUGAUGCAGCGACGCCGCGUGGGGGCUGACGGCCUUCGGGUUGUAAACUCCUUUCGCUAGGGACGAAGCGCAAGUGACGGUACCUGGAGAAGAAGCACCGGCUAACUACGUG
rnacentral:rRNA from 1 species